rnacentral:rRNA from 1 species
GAUGAACGCUAGCUACCCGUUUAACACAUGCAAGUCGAGGGGCAGCAUGUCGGUUGCUUGCAACCGAUGAUGGCGACCGGCGCACGGGUGAGUAACGCGUAUCCAACCUACCCUUGUCCAUCGGAUAACCCGUCGAAAGGCGGCCUAACACGAUAUGCGGUUCACAGCAGGCAUCUAACGUGAACGAAAUGUGAAGGAGAAGGAUGGGGAUGCGUCUGAUUAGCUUGUUGGCGGGGUAACGGCCCACCAAGGCGACGAUCAGUAGGGGUUCUGAGAGGAAGGUCCCCCACAUUGGAACUGAGACACGGUCCAAACUCCUACGGGAGGCAGCAGUGAGGAAUAUUGGUCAAUGGGCGAGAGCUUGAACCAGCCAAGUCGCGUGAGGGACGAAUGGUCUAUGGCCUGUAAACCUCUUUUGCCAGGGAAGAAUAAAAGGUACGUGUACCUUCUUGCCAGUACCUGACGAAUAAGCAUCGGCUAACUCCGUGCCAGCAGCCGCGGUAAUACGGGGGAUGCGAGCGUUAUCCGGAUUUAUUGGGUUUAAAGGGCGCGUAGGCGGGACGUCAAGUCAGCGGUAAAAGACUGCAGCUAAACUGUAGCACGCCGUUGAAACUGGCGCCCUCGAGACGAGACGAGGGAGGCGGAACAAGUGAAGUAGCGGUGAAGUGCAUAGAUAUCACUUGGAACCCCGAUAGCGAAGGCAGCUUCCCAGGCUCGAUCUGACGCUGAUGCGCGAGAGCGUGGGUAGCGAACAGG